rnacentral:rRNA from 1 species
UAGGGAAUCUUCCGCAAUGGACGAAAGUCUGACGGAGCAACUCCGCGUGAGUGAAGAAGGAUUUCGGUUCGUAAAACUCUGUUGUUAGGGAAGAAAAAAUGUAUAGUAACUAUAUACAAAAGAGACGGUACCUAACCAGAAAGCCACGGCUAACUACGUGCCAGCAGCCGCGGUAAUACGUAGGUGGCAAGCGUUGUCCGGAAUUAUUGGGCGUAAAGCGCGCGCAGGUGGUUUAGAAAGUCUGAUGUGAAAGCCUACGGCUCAACCGUGGAGGGUCAUUGGAAACUAAUAAACUUGAGUGCAGGAGAGAAAAGUGGAAUUCCUAGUGUAGCGGUGAAAUGCGUAGAGAUUAGGAGGAACACCGGUGGCGAAAGCGGCUUUUUGGCCUGCAACUGAAACUGAGGCGCGAAAGCGUGGGGAGCAAACAGG